rnacentral:rRNA from 1 species
CCACACGACUCUCGGCAACGGAUAUCUCGGCUCUCGCAUCGAUGAAGAACGUANCGAAAUGCGAUACCUGGUGUGAAUUGCAGAAUCCCGYGAACCAUCGAGUYUUUGAACGCAAGUUGCGCCCGAGGCCAUUCGGCCGAGGGCACGCCUGCCUGGGCGUCACG